rnacentral:ncRNA from 1 species
AUAAAAGCUGGGAUAGGGACAGUACGUUUCUACUUUUUAUCCUAUAUAGCGAGCCGGGGAUGGUGGAAGCCCGGUAAGGAGAUAGAUGCGGAAGAUCACCCUUGAGCUCCAUGCAUGAAAUUAUCCAUCGAACCGGGAUAACUAGUGUUUGGCGUUUAUUCACGUUACGAAUGAAACGAGUGAAAAUAUCCCGUUGGAUAUUUUUAUGAGGGUGGUACCGCGGGAAAGCUUUCUCGUCCCUUUU